rnacentral:piRNA from 1 species
UGCAAAUGGUUGUCACUGUGGCAACAUCUGC